GACGAACGCUGGCGGCGUGCUUAACACAUGCAAGUCGAACGGAAAGGCCUUGCUUUUGCGUGGUGCUCGAGUGGCGAACGGGUGAGUAACACGUGAGUAACCUGCCCUUGACUUCGGGAGAACUUCAGGAAACUGGGGCUAAUACCGGAUAGGAGCUGCUGCUGCAUGGUGGGGGUUGGAAAGUUUCGGUGGUUUGGGAUGUACUCGCGGCUUAUCAGCUUGUUGGUGGGGUAGUGGCUUACCAAGGCUUUGACGGGUAGCCGACCUGAGAGAUGAACCGGCGACAUGGAUACUUAGAUACGGCCCAGACUUCAACGGGGGACAAUGGGAGGAAAUAUCUGACAAAGGUCGGGAGCGUGUUGAAAAAACUGCUCGUGGGGGAUAACCUCCAUCGUGUUAUAAACCGCAUUACGCUGAUACUAAGCGUGAGUGACGUUACUGAGUAAAGAAGCACCGGCUAACUUCGUG
rnacentral:rRNA from 1 species